AGUGAACGCUGGCGGUAGGCCUAACACAUGCAAGUCGAACGGCAGCACAGUAAGAGCUUGCUCUUACGGGUGGCGAGUGGCGGACGGGUGAGGAAUACAUCGGAAUCUACUUUUUCGUGGGGGAUAACGUAGGGAAACUUACGCUAGUACCGCAUACGACCUACGGGUGAAAGCAGGGGAUCUUCGGACCUUGCGCGAUUGAAUGAGCCGAUGUCGGAUUAGCUAGUUGGCGGGGUAAAGGCCCACCAAGGCGACGAUCCGUAGCUGGUCUGAGAGGAUGAUCUGCCACACUGGAACUGAGACACGGUCCAGACUCCUACGGGAGGCAGCAGUGGGGAAUAUUGGACAAUGGGCGCAAGCCUGAUCCAGCCAUACCGCGUGGGUGAAGAAGGCCUUCGGGUUGUAAAGCCCUUUUGUUGGGAAAGAAAAGCAGCAGGUUAAUACCCCGCUGUUCUGACGGUACCCAAAGAAUAAGCACCGGCUAACUUCGUG
rnacentral:rRNA from 1 species